AACGCGAAGAACCUUACCUGGGUUAAAUCACAGUAGAAUGGCACAGAGAUGUGCCCGCUUCGCAAGAGGCUGCUGUGAAGGUGCUGCAUGGCUGUCGUCAGCUCGUGUCGUGAGAUGUUGGGUUAAGUCCCGCAACGAGCGCAACCCUUACCACUAGUUGCCAGCAUUUAGUUGGGGACUCUAGCGGAACUGCCGGUGAUAAACCGGAGGAAGGUGGGGAUGACGUCAAGUCAUCAUGGCCUUUAUGUCCAGGGCUACACACGUGCUACAAUGGCCGGUACAAACCGCCGCAAACUCGCGAGAGGGAGCCAAUCGGAAAAAACCGGUCUCAGUUCGGAUUGGAGUCUGCAACUCGACUCCAUGAAGUUGGAAUCGCUAGUAAUCGCAGAUCAGCACGCUGCGGUGAAUACGUUCCCGGGCCUUGUA
rnacentral:rRNA from 1 species